AACGCACGAGACCUGCGGACCUGCGGAAGGAUCAUUACCGAGUUAUACAACUCCCAAACCCACUGUGAACCUUACCUCAGUUGCCUCGGCGGGAACGCCCCGGCCGCCUGCCCCCGCGCCGGCGCCGGACCCAGGCGCCCGCCGCAGGGACCCCAAACUCUCUUGCAUUACGCCCAGCGGGCGGAAUUUCUUCUCUGAGUUGCACAAGCAAAAACAAAUGAAUCAAAACUUUUAGCAAUG
rnacentral:misc_RNA from 1 species